AGAGUUUGAUCAUGGCUCAGAUUGAACGCUGGCGGCAGGCCUAACACAUGCAAGUCGAGCGGUAGCACAGAGAGCUUGCUCUCGGGUGACGAGCGGCGGACGGGUGAGUAAUGUCUGGGAAACUGCUUCGAUGGAGGGGGAUAACUACUGGAAACGGUAGCUAAUACCGCAUAACGUCGCAAGACCAAAGUGGGGGACCUUCGGGCCUCAUGCCAUCAGAUGUGCCCAGAUGGGAUUAGCUAGUAGGUGGGGUAACGGCUCACCUAGGCGACGAUCCCUAGCUGGUCUGAGAGGAUGACCAGCCACACUGGAACUGAGACACGGUCCAGACUCCUACGGGAGGCAGCAGUGGGGAAUAUUGCACAAUGGGCGCAAGCCUGAUGCAGCCAUGCCGCGUGUGUGAAAAGGCCUUCGGGUUGUAAAGCACUUUCAGCGGGGAGGAAGGCGGUGAGGUUAAAACCUCAUCGAUUGACGUUACCCGCAAAAGAAGCACCGGCUAACUCCGUGCCAGCAGCCGCGUAAUACGAGGGUGCAGCCUUAACCGAAUUACGGGCGUAAGCGCACGCAGGCGGUCUGUCAAGUCGGAUGUGAAAUCCCCGGGCUCAACCUUGGGAACUGCAUUCGAAACUGGCAGGCUAGAGUCUUGUAGAGGGGGGUAGAAUUCCAGGUGUAGCGGUGAAAUGCGUAGAGAUCUGGAGGAAUACCGGUGGCGAAGGCGGCCCCCUGGACAAAGACUGACGCUCAGGUGCGAAAGCGUGGGGAGCAAACAGGAUUAGAUACCCUGGUAGUCCACGCUGUAAACGAUGUCGAUUUGGAGGUUGUGCCCUUGAGGCGUGGCUUCCGGAGCUAACGCGUUAAAUCGACCGCCUGGGGAGUACGGCCGCAAGGUUAAAACUCAAAUGAAUUGACGGGGGCCCGCACAAGCGGUGGAGCAUGUGGUUUAAUUCGAUGCAACGCGAAGAACCUUACCUGGUCUUGACAUCCACAGAACUUUCCAGAGAUGGAUUGGUGCCUUCGGGAACUGUGAGACAGGUGCUGCAUGGCUGUCGUCAGCUCGUGUUGUGAAAUGUUGGGUUAAGUCCCGCAACGAGCGCAACCCUUAUCCUUUGUUGCCAGCGGUUAGGCCGGGAACUCAAAGGAGACUGCCAGUGAUAAACUGGAGGAAGGUGGGGAUGACGUCAAGUCAUCAUGGCCCUUACGACCAGGGCUACACACGUGCUACAAUGGCAUAUACAAAGAGAAGCGACCUCGCGAGAGCAAGCGGACCUCAUAAAGUAUGUCGUAGUCCGGAUUGGAGUCUGCAACUCGACUCCAUGAAGUCGGAAUCGCUAGUAAUCGUAGAUCAGAUGCUACGGUGAAUACGUUCCCGGGC
rnacentral:rRNA from 1 species